AAAAGCAUUCACAAACCAGUUCUUCCCUGAAGGAAAGAAGUCUUCCCUUCUCAAGGCCUGAAAUCAGAAGAGUGGAAACAGCCAUAAAAUCUAAAGCUUUCUGGGGCGAAUCUGACGACAGCAGCUCCGAGAUUGAGGCAGCUCUGCGCCCACAAACCGGCAGCCCCGAGGCAGACGACUUUGAUGACUUCUAUGAUUAAAAUUCCCCUGCUCACCUUUGGGAAGAAACAAACAAUUUCAUCCAGUACAGAGCGAGAGUGCUGCUGCCUGAAGUGCAGCUCAUCACUUUACAGUCCAAGAAAAUUUUAAUA